rnacentral:rRNA from 1 species
AACUUUCAACAACGGAUCUCUUGGUUCUCGCAUCGAUGAAGAGCGCAGCGAAAUGCGAUACCUAGUGUGAAUUGCAGCCAUCGUGAAUCAUCGAGUUCUUGAACGCACAUUGCGCCCCAUGGUAUUCCAUGGGGCAUGCCUGUCUGAGCGUCGUU